rnacentral:snRNA from 1 species
GCAUGAGGGUAAUCUGGCUACUACAUCAGUCACCAUAUUGGUUGACAGGGUUGAUUCGGCUGAUCUGGCUGGCCAGGCGGGUGUCCCCUUCCUCCCUUACCCUUCAAGUGCGUCCCUCCCAAACCUGCGCAUCGGUUGAGGAGGACGGCUUUCCCGGAAUAGAGACUGACAGGGUUGGUGGAGGGUAUACAAGUAUCUGCGAUCCCCUACUAGAACCCUCAAACAAGCUCUCAAAUAAAUUAAAUAAAUCAAAUAAAUAUAAAGAAAUCAAGUAAAUAUUUGUAAAUAUUUGUUU